rnacentral:rRNA from 1 species
UUGACCUCGAAUCAGGUAGGAAUACCCGCUGAACUUAAGCAUAUCAAUAAGCGGAGGAAAAGAAACCAACCGGGAUUACCUCAGUAACGGCGAGUGAAGCGGUAACAGCUCAAAUUUGAAAUCUGGCUCCUUCGGAGUCCGAGUUGUAAUUUGUAGAAGAUGCUUUGGGUGUCGAGUUCGGCCUAAGUUCCUUGGAACAGGACGUCAUAGAGGGUGAGAAUCCCGUAUGUGGCCGAGGCCCGCGCCUAUGUAAAGCUCUUUCAACGAGUCGAGUUGUUUGGGAAUGCAGCUCAAAAUGGGUGGUAAAUUUCAUCUAAAGCUAAAUAUGGGCCAGAGACCGAUAGCGCACAAGUAGAGUGAUCGAAAGAUGAAAAGCACUUUGGAAAGAGAGUUAAACAGUACGUGAAAUUGUUGAAAGGGAAGCGCUUGCAACCAGACUUGGGCGCUGCCGAUCACCCCGAGUUCUCUCAGGUGCACUCGACAGCGCACAGGCCAGCAUCGGUUCGGGUGGCUGGAUAAAGGCCGUAGGAACGUGGCUCCCUUCGAGGAGUGUUAUAGCCUACGGUGCCAUGCAGCCCAGCCGGACCGAGGAUCGCGCCUUCGGGCUAGGAUGCUGGCGUAAUGGUUGUAAGCGACCCGUCUUGAAACACGGACCAAGGAGUCUAACAUCUAUGCGAGUGUUUGGGUGGUA